rnacentral:rRNA from 1 species
UACGUAGGGUGCAAGCGUUGUCCGGAAUUAUUGGGCGUAAAGAGCUCGUAGGCGGUUUGUCGCGUCUGCUGUGAAAACCCGAGGCUCAACCCCGUGACUGCAUCCGAUACUGUCAGGCUAGAGGUAGGUAGGGGAGAUCGGAAUUCCUGGUGUAGCGGUGAAAUGCGCAGAUAUCAGGAGGAACACCGGUGGCGAAGGCGGAUCUCUGGGCCUUGCCUGACGCUCAGGCGCGAAAGCUAGGGGAGCGAACAGG